rnacentral:rRNA from 1 species
GACGAACGCUGGCGGCAUGCCUAACACAUGCAAGUCGAACGAGACCUUCGGGUCUAGUGGCGCACGGCUGCGUACCACGUGGGAACCUGCCCUUGGGUUCGGAAUAACUCCCCGAGAGGGAUGCUAAUACCGCUUGAUGUCUUCGCACCAAAGAUUUAUGGCCGUUGGAUGGGGCCGCGUUGGAUUAGCUGGUUGGUAGGGUACAAGCCUACCAAGGGGACGAUGCAUAGCUGGUCUGAGAGGAUGAUCAGCCACACUGGGACUGAGACACGGCCCAGACUCCUACGGGAGGCAGCAGUGGGGAAUAUUGGACAAUGGGCGAAAGCCUGAUCCAGCAAUGCCGCGUGAGUGAUGAAGGCCUUAGUGUUGUAAAGCUCUUUUACCCGGGAUGAUAAUGACAGUACCGGGAGAAUAAGCUCCGGCUAACUCCGUG